ensembl:ncRNA F09D5.10 ncRNA
UAACAACAGAAGCCACUAAAAAUGAGCCAAACAUGGAAGACGGCGUAGUUGGGUGGGAGGAGGGGAACAAAAAAAAUUGGACAGGGAGGAGUCCGGUGGAUGGAUGGGUGGGGAGGAAAGGAAAGGACUACUACUGAGAUGGCUACUCUUGACUUGUCACUCAGUCAAAAGGCGGUAGAGUUGUGCUCCUCAUGUGUGUGCUUCUCUUUCACAUUCUUUUUGAGACAUAUAGUGAAAAAAAGAAGAA